rnacentral:sRNA from 1 species
AAAAUGGGUAUAAGUGUUGUCUAAACACUCCUAAUCCAUCUCUAACUCUUAUAAUUAGUCAAAGGCUUUGGAUUGUAAUACAUUUUGACCAUAUAAACACUAACAAAGCUAUUUACUGCUUGUAAGUAAAUUUUUGUUGGUUAUAGCUUUUUUUCGGAGAAAAUUGGUAUAAGUGUUGUCUAAACACUGCUAAUCUAUCUCUAACUCUUAUAAUUAGUCAAAGGCAUUGGAUUGUGACACAGUUUGACAAUUGAAACACUAACAAAUAUAUUGAGUGCUUCUAAGGAAAUUUUUGUUGGUUUUAGCCUCUUUUGGGAGAAAACGGAUAUAAGUGUUGUCUAAACACUCCUAAUCCAUCUGUAACUCUUAUAAUUAGUCAAAGGCUUUGGAUUUUAACAUAUUUUGACCAUAGAAAUACUAACAAAGCUAUUUACUGCUUGUAAGCAAUUUUUUGUUGGUUUUAGCCUCUUUUGGGAGAAAAUGGGGUUAAAUGUUGUCUAAACACUCCUAAUCCAUCUUUAACUCUUAUAAUUAGUCAAAUUCAUUGGAUUGUGACACAUUCUGACCAUAAAAACACUAAAAAAAGUGUUUACUGCUUCUAAGCAAUUUUUUGUUGGUUUUAACCUCUUUUGGGAGAAAAUGGGUAUAAGUGUUGUCUAAACACUCUUAAUCCAUCUCUAACUCUUAUAAUUAGUCAAAGGCUUUGGAUUGUGAUACAUUUUGACCAUAUAAACACUAACAAAGCUAUUUACUGCUUCUAAGCAAUUUUUUGUUGGUUUUAGCCUCUUUUGGGAGAAAAUGAGUAUAAGUGUUGUUUAAACACUCCUAAUCUAUCUUUAACACUUAUAAUUAGUCAAAUGCAUUGGAUUGUGAUACAUUUUGACCAUAGAAACACUAACAAUGCUAUUUACUGCUUCUAAGCAAUCUUUUGUUGGUUAAA